rfam:Gossypium raimondii Chr04_contig_743, whole genome shotgun sequence.
AUGUGGUGGUGAGGGCAUUUACGAAUGGCUCUUUGAAUCUUUUAUAUGCUUCAUAUAGGGACUCAUCAUCCGUUUUUUAAAAACUGGUGAUCUCAUGCAGCAACUU